UAAAUUAUAACCACAAAGUCCUCUUCUUUCUCGUCUCGGCUCGUCUCUCCUCCAUAUGGUCGUACGAUCGAGGGAAGGGACCUCAGUCCAGUGACAGAUGACUCGUGGAAAAGAUUCUAUGAGCAACAAUUUGGAGUGGAGAGUGCAAAUACUGUGAUCAACAGGAUGAAACAGAAGUGGAGACUGCUCUAUGAGAGAAACAAAGUCGGAAAAUCCAAAUUUGUUCUAAAAUUCCACCCUCAAAAAAUAAGAGAGACCACCGGCGAGGAAUUGGACCGAGUAAUAGCUUGUCCAAUGUGAAAAGUAACCUGAUGAAGGCGGCAAAAUUGGAGUACUGUAAUAGCCAUGAAGCAAAAGUACAUGCUCUGAUGAGAAGAAAUGCUCUGCAACGAAACAGCUUGUCACAUCAAAGCAUCCCUAGUUCUGCAAAACAGAACAAUAUCCUUCAAAGUAAUCGGGAUUCAAGUUCCAGAAAUGGAAAACCAGUGGCAAGAAAACAAUUGCUUUACCUCAUCUUUUCAGGGUUUCUCAUGAGAAGGAAAACUUUGGUACCUAUUGAGUUCCUACAAUUUAUGGCACUCUGUCACCGAGGUUCAUCGUUGGCAUUAGUCUCUUAUCGUCCUCCUGUGAGUUUCGUAUCUCUAUAGAAAGAUCUGUGUUGACUAUAAAUAUUUGUUUUAUAGCAUUAGAUUUGAGUUUUAUCUCUCGACACUGUAUCAUGUGUUGUGGCUUCAAGUCACCUCUCUAACUAGAUUACAGAUUAGGCAAUAAAUUAGAGCUUAAUGGCUAUGUGAUUA